rnacentral:tRNA from 1 species
GGGGGUGGUGGCCCAGUGGCAAGGCCUUCAACCUGCCAUCUUUAAGAUUCGGGUUCGAGUCCCGGCGCUUCCA